ensembl:misc_RNA Metazoa_SRP Metazoan signal recognition particle RNA
GCUGCGUGUGGUGGUGCAUGCUUGUAGUCCCAGCUACUUGGGAGGCUGAGGCAGGAGGAUUGCUUGAGCCCAGGAGUUCAAGACUGCAGUGAGCUAUGAUUGUGCCGCUGCACUCCAGCCUGGGAAACAGAGUCAGACCCUGUCUCAA